GUGAGCUCUUGGCAGGACCUAAACCUCCUUGGAAGAUAGGCAGAAAGCUCUCGACACCAUUCCAUGGCCCACGAACCAAUGUAAGAUGAGCAAAUGGCUUGAAGGAAUUGCUACCUCCAGGUCAAGCCAGGGAUGCAGCACUGCCGAGACCACGUUUGUGCCAAGCACUGGGCUGGACCCUGUGCAGAACCAAAUGAACAAGGCACGUUCCCCUUUCAGCACUAACGGCACUGUAAGAACAGGGAGAAGUGGAAUCUAAUCUGGCCUGAGGGUAGAGGGUGAUCAGCUAAGUCUGAAACACCAUGUAGAAACUUGCCAUGUAUGGCCGGGCGCGGUGGCUCACGCCUGUAAUCCCAGCGCUUUGGGAGGCCAAGGUGGGCGGAUCACGAGGUCAGGAGUUCCAGACCAGCAGCCUGGCCAACAUAGUGAAACCUGGUAACAUAGUGAAACCUCGUCUCUACUAAAAAUGCAAAAAAUUAGCCAGGCGUGGUGGCAGGCGCCUGCAGUCCUAGCUACUUGGGAGGCUGAGGCAAGAGAAUCGCUUCAACCUUGGAGGGGGGAGGAGGUGUUGUCAGCCGAGAUCGCGCCACUGCAUCCCAGCCUGGGCAACAAGAGUGAAACUCCGUCUCAAAAAAAUGAAAUAAAAUAAACGAAUGAUCA
rnacentral:lncRNA from 1 species